AGUGAACGCUGGCGGUAGGCCUAACACAUGCAAGUCGAACGGCAGCACAGUAAGAGCUUGCUCUUACGGGUGGCGAGUGGCGGACGGGUGAGGAAUACAUCGGAAUCUACUUUUUCGUGGGGGAUAACGUAGGGAAACUUACGCUAAUACCGCAUACGACCUACGGGUGAAAGCAGGGGAUCUUCGGACCUUGCGCGAUUGAAUGAGCCGAUGUCGGAUUAGCUAGUUGGCGGGGUAAAGGCCCACCAAGGCGACGAUCCGUAGCUGGUCUGAGAGGAUGAUCACCCACACUGGAACUGAGACACGGUCCAGACUCCUACGGGAGGCAGCAGUGGGGAAUAUUGGACAAUGGGCGCAAGCCUGAUCCAGCCAUACCGCGUGGGUGAAGAAGGCCUUCGGGUUGUAAAGCCCUUUUGUUGGGAAAGAAAAGCAGCAGGUUAAUACCCCGCUGCUCUGACGGUACCCAAAGAAUAAGCACCGGCUAACUUCGUG
rnacentral:rRNA from 1 species